CGAACCCACGUAGGUUAAAAACUGCGGGGAUGAGCUGUGGGUAGGGGUGAAAGGCCAAUCAAACUUCGUGAUAGCUGGUUCUCCCCGAAAUGCAUUUAGGUGCAGCGUCGUAUUAUAGCUUGGUGGAGGUAGAGCGACUGGUUGGUUGAGCGGGACUACAAUCUUAGCAAUGUCAGCCAAACUCCGAAUGCCACUAAUUGUGUUGUACGGCAGUGAGACUGUGGGGGAUAAGCUUCAUAGUCGAGAGGGAAACAGCCCAGAUCGCCGGUUAAGGCCCCUAAGGGUGUACUAAGUGGAAAAGGAUGUGGGAUCGCGAAGACAGCCAGGAGGUUGGCUUAGAAGCAGCCAUCCUUGAAAGAGUGCGUAAUAGCUCACUGGUCGAGUGGUUCUGCGCCGACAAUUCAGUGGGGCUCAAGUACACCGCCGAAGCCGCGGCAAACAUUUUGUUUGGGUAGGGGAGCGUCGUGCAUGGGUUGAAGCGUUACCGUAAGGAGGCGUGGACUGUGUGCGAGCGAGAAUGCAGGCAUGAGUAACGAAUUGAUAGGUGAGAAUCCUAUCCGCCGGAUGACUAAGGGUUCCUGGGUCAAGUUCGUCUUCCCAGGGUGAGUCGGGACCUAAGGCGAGGCCGACAGGCGUAGUCGAUGGAUAACCAGUUGAUAUUCUGGUACCCGUACAUGCGCGCCCAUGAUGAAGCACUGAUACUAACCACCGCGGAUGCACUACCGGUACUCUUUGAGUGUUGGUGGUGUUGA
rnacentral:rRNA from 1 species